rnacentral:lncRNA from 10 species
CUUCACAAUACAGCACAUUGGGCUCUUUCAGUGGAAAAUAAAAAUCACUGUGCGAGAGGGGCUGAUUGCUGAUGAUUGAAGCUUAUCGAAAUAAAACCAGAACACAUGCAUGUUCUUAUUCAGAGAAGGACGGCUCAUAGCCCUGAAAGUCCCAGUUCAAGCUUCCACAAUCAUCCUACACAAGAGCACUGCUUCUCACAGGACUGCCUCAGCCUGGCAGGAUUCAGUCUCCUGCUCUGAGGGAAAAACAGGAAGUCAAGGAUCAAGACCGAGUGCUCAACUGAGAUCAGAAAGGAGGACACACAGUGACUUGGCCAAAUCACUGGAGAUUCACACAGCAGAGCUCAGACGAGUGCUAUCAGCACAGCUGAGGAAGACAACAGUUAGGGGAAUCAGUGAAGUGAGCUCCCAGCUACCGCCUCGAGAGGCUGCUAUUGACAAUCUCCUGUCUGGCCAAACAACUUCCUUUCUACAACUUUGCCUGGGCGAAUGGCAGUAGGAAAACACCACCAACAAAUUGGAAAUUGCCACAUCAUUCACAUCGGUUUUCCUCUACUGAAUCCAAUCCCUGCUUUCAAGAAGAAAGAAGUGGUAGUACAAUACAAUCUCAGCAUUCUGUAAUCUGGCUUGAAUGUGACUGUGCAAGGAUCCUGAAAGAGAAACAUUGGUUGUGUUUUUAUUCCUUGGGUAUAAGAAUCCUGAAAGAGAAAGGCAUCUGAACCUUGGAGGCAUGGGGUUCAUCUCAUCCUCAUCCAGCCUGUGAUGAUGGAGCUGUUUUCACCAGAAACGUGAGGAGACUCAUACCACUUGAGGUAGUGUGGAUGUGUGGCACAGUUUUGGAGAGGGCUAUUCCCCUACCUUUACAUGGAAUCCAGUAACUCUCUGAAAACAUAGCAAUGGCAAAAGUCCUUUUCGAGACUGCAAGGAAAACAAACAACUACCAAGAGAAGUCCAAGCAUCAGGGAAAGAAUGAAGUGGUGUGGAGACCAUAGCCAAUAGCUGCUUUAUGAGCACAUUUGUGGCUACCCUUGGGGACCCAAGAAAUAACCGGGUAAGAGGUAACUUUCCAAGAGAGGUUAAAGGUCCUACAUGGUGGCUAGGAGCAAG